GAUGAAGAACGUAGUGAAAUGCGAUAAGUAAUGUGAAUUGCAGAAUUCGGUGAAUCAUCGAAUCUUUGAACGCACAUUGCGCCCGGCAGUAAUCUGCCGGGCAUGCCUGUCCGAGCGUCAUUUCACCCCUCGAGCCGCUUUUAGUGGAUCGGUGUUGGGGCACUACGGUAAAACGUAGGCCCUGAAAUGAAGUGGCGGUCCCGCCGCGGUGCCCCCAUGCGUAGUAACGUUUAGUCUCGCAUCGGGUCCCGGCGGAGGCCUGCCGUCAAGCCUAUUUAUUCUCAGAAUAGUUUGACCUCGGAUCAGGUAGGGUUACCCGCUGAACUUAAGCAUAUCAAUAAGCGGAGGA
rnacentral:misc_RNA from 1 species